rnacentral:rRNA from 1 species
UGGGGAAUCUUAGACAAUGGGGGAAACCCUGAUCUAGCCAUGCCGCGUGAGUGACGAAGGCCUUAGGGUCGUAAAGCUCUUUCGGUAGGGACGAAAGCCCCCGACCUAACACGUCGGGGGGAUGACUUAACCUACAAAAAAAGCACCGGCUAACUCUGUGCCAGCAGCCGCAGUAAUACGGAGGGUGCGAGCGUUAAUCGAAAUUACUGGGCGUAAAGCGCACGUAGGCGGCUUGGUAUGUCGGGUGUGAAAUCCCCGGGCUCAACCUGGGAACUGCAUCCGAAACUGCCUUGCUAGAGUAUGGGAGAGGGAAGUGGAAUUUCCGGUGUAGCGGUGAAAUGCGUAGAUAUCGGAAGGAACAUCAGUGGCGAAGGCGACUUCCUGGACCAAUACUGACGCUCAGGUGCGAAAGCGUGGGGAGCAAACAGGAUUAGAUACCCUGGUAGUCCACGCCCUAAACGAUGACAACUGGAUGUCGGGAGGGUUUGCCUUCCGGUGUCGUAGCUAACGCGUUAAGUUGUCCGCCUGGGAGUACGGCCGCAAGGUUA